rnacentral:rRNA from 1 species
CCCUUAGAUGUUCUGGGCCGCGCGCGUGCUACACUGAGUGGAUCAGCGGGUCAGGUUGCGCGAAAGCGUUUCCUAAUCUUUAAAUCCGCUCGUGAUGGGGAUUGACGGUUGCAAUUUUCUGUCAUGAACGAGGAAUACCUUGUAAGCGCGGGUCAUCAUCCCGCGCUGAAUACGUCCCUGCCCUUUGUACGCACCGCCCGUCGCUCCUACCGAUUGAGUGGUCCGGUGAGGCUUUGGGAUCUGAGCGGAAAGAGCGUUUCGCUGUUUCUGCUCGGAAAACUCAGUCGAACCUUAUCAUUUAGAGGAAGGAGAAGUCGUAACA